ensembl:lncRNA
GCCAAAGUGCUUGCUCAUAGGGGGUCAUAUGAUUGGUGGGUUUUUCUCUGUAUCUAUGUAUCUAGGUGACUUAUGUUGUGAUUUGGCGCUAUAUAAAUAAAAUUGAAUUGAAUUGAAUUGAAUAUCCCUCUUUCUGUGCAGCAAGCAACAGGCGCACCUCAGAAACGGAGGGUGCCCUUACUCGCAGCAAAUGAGCGGGAGUAAAAAAAAUGCAUAUUUUCCCCAAUCAUGCUGCACUUUCAGAAGUUUUACAAAUGAAUAUUGCAGUGGAGGUUCUUUUUUUUCCCUUUUCUUUUCUUUUUUUUUUAAUCAACCCUGACAUCAUGCCCUGGCAUGAUAUUAGGGUUAUUUUUAGUCACAAGGGAGGCGUGGUCUUAAAAGUAUUUAAGCAGCUGUUUGCCUCUUCUUCUGCAUCUCAGUGUCAGAUAACCAAAAGGCUCCCAGAUGAUUCCGUUUUGGACUCUCGGAUUUGUUUGUUUAAUUAUUGACUUCAGCACUGCUCAUGAGCCUGCAGUUGGAGAAAAUGCAGCCUCCAAAAACCACUGUUCUCGAAAAGACUGCAAUGGAACACAGUAUGACAUCCAGGAGGCUGCUUGCUGUGAAAACAAACUUCAUCCAGGUUCAAAUCUGUUUUGUUGUGGAAAGGAGCCUUACAAUCCUGCUACAGCCACUUGUUGUAAAGUUCAACAUGGAAAGAUCAUCACAGCUAGUAUUACUCAGGGUCUGAGUGAGAAGGCGUCCAAGUGCUGUGACCUGAAGGCCUACAACCCAGUCAAUGAAAUAUGUUGUCAAUCAUCCAUCAUAUCAAAACCUGGACCAAUGGCUGAAUGCUGUGGUAAAGAUGUUUUUGAUAAGGACAAACAGUUGUGUUGUGGUCCAGCUGAUAAUAAGACAAUUCUGGUGAGGAAUUCCCGUCACCAUGAGUGCUGCGGUCACAGCCAGUAUGACACUGAGACUCAGUGCUGCUGUUCAAAUGAGGAGAAGUUGGAGAUACAAUCGAAGGAUUCAUCCUGCUGUGUCAAGAAUUUCAGUCCAGGCCUUUCAAGUGGAAAUACCAACUUCAACAAACCAUCACCAAAGAAUGGAAGUUGUGGUGAAGGUAUGAAACAGAAGAUAUUCAAGCUCCAACCCAAAUGCACUGAACCAAACACACAUCUCUGUGGGUCGUCGUGUUACAAUCCAAAGCAAAAUCGUUGCUGUGAGAGUAACCACAAGCCUCACUCACUCGACAACUCAGGUCAAAGGAAGGCCACAGCUACAGUGUAUAACCCACAUACUCAGGUCUGCUGCGAUGGACGUGUAUCUCCGUGGAAGCCUUGGAUCGAUCAGUGCUGUGGAGAGACGCCGUAUGGCUCGGCACAACGUGGAGUUCUGUGUUGUAAUAAGAGCUUGUACGAGGGCAGAGAUGAUGGAGAGGAAUGUUCAGAGAUGGGUAUUCCUUACAACCCGGCUAAAGGGACCAUGUGUUGUUCUCAGUUUCACGGCAGCCCAGGACAACACUGCUGUGGGAUAGAAAUUUACCAGCCUCAUACUGAGAUCUGCUGCAAUGGACACAGACAUCUGAAAUCAGAAAACAUUCACUGCUGUGGGGUCAAAGCCUACAACAUUAAAGACCCACAGAUGAAGUGCUGUGCAGGAACACUGUACAAUCUGACAUCAUUAGACAAGCAUGGAGGGGAUGCGCAGUGCUGCGGAUCCAUUCUGCAAAAGCCACAGGACAUUUGCUGCUCAAAUGAGGACAAAGAGGUGCUCUACUCUGCCAAGACAGGGUUCAGAUGCUGUGGUCACCUUUACUAUAACACCACCCUGUGGUCAUGCUGUGCUGGGGGGCUGAGAAGAAUCCAUGAACCAGGACAGGAUCAGAGAAAGAUGAUUAAUGGAUCCAGACUUCUAUCUGUGGAUAAUCUGAACAAAAUCGAUCUUUGCAAAGAAAUGCACAUUGGGACUGUGGAAAGUGUGUCGCUGCAGAGCAUUGUGUUCAGGAGUGUGCUGAAGGUCCAUGGGAUGGAGGCCAAAGUGAAAGCUCUGCCUUUGCCUUACAUCCUGGAAAGAGAUGAUCGCUGCAGCUCCCCUAAACUGAUUGCUGGGAAGACCUACUACUUUAACAAAGUUAAUGUUUUCAUUGAUUUCAAUCAUGACUCUGUUCUUCAGUCACUCCAUUUCAUUAUUUCCAAAUGUUCAUGACUAGUCACCACUGGCUGAUGUAUACGUGGUCAGUGUGGAUCUGUUACUCUCGUCUUUGAAGUUCUUUUUUCCCCACAUAUUUACUCACAGUGUUGGCUUUAUCACUCAAAAAAGUAAUUAAUUACAAAUUACAUUACACUGGUUAACAUUAUUUUACAAAGUAAUUUGUUACCAUAUUUAUUAUGGUUGCAUUGCAACCUAAUAUACUAACCCCAAAUCGCUCUCUGAUUCACCCAUCACAGUGUGAAUGUUAGCUCGAACUUAAACACAGGAAGAAGUCGUUGUAUGAAUGUGUGAAUGAGGGACGCUAUAUAAAGCGCUUUGAGUGCUCAGGUAGGGUAGAAAAGUGUUAUAUAGAAGAACCUGUCCAUUUAUCAGUAGUAUACAAUACUUCACAUGAUGUGUUGUUUAUACAUUACUCUGCCUGUGUCCAGCCAAACCAUGUUGCUCUGUUGUUUAACACAUCCCAAGAUGUCGUAUCACAGACAGAAUUUAGGUACUUUAAGUAAAGAAAACAAAAGACAACGUAGCUUUUCACUUCAGUUUUACGGGGAUUCACAUUGUAGUGAUUCACACAACUUGACAAUAAUCAAUACUGUAACACAGCAAGCUGGUGCACAAUGUUGUUGCUCAAAUCUAAAUUUGAACAAAAUCUAAAUGUAACUUUGUUUCUUGCACUGAACUAAAAUAUAAGUGACAACUGUUUGCACGUCCUUGAACCAUACAACUGAAUACUUGCAGUAAAGUCCAUGAUGUACUGUGAUUGUUAAUUCUAAUGAAUGAUAAACACUUAGUGCCAAUAUCAAGAAUACAAAUAUGUUAGAAGAACCCACUAAAAAUUCCAUGAAUUUCUGUUUCUUUGAAUGUGAUUCAUGUAAAAUAGUUGUGGAAAUGGUAAGGAUAGGUAUGGGAAUUUAAGAAUGGUAAGGAAUUUAGUAAGGAUUUGAGGGACAUUUAAGCUAUAAGCAAACAUAAACACUGCCUGCUUGAUUUAGUGCCUUGUUGUUAAUAUAAUAUAUUGCAUAGUUAUAUUGUAAAUGUUUAAUAUUUGACCGGACCUAUUGUCCUUUAAGGAUUCAAAUAAAUAAAUACAAACAUUUAUUUAACCUGCUUUGUUUUCUCUUGUAUUCAAAUAGCUUCCUGUUACUAAAAAGCAAUGUGAGCAAGCAAUCUAAAAGGUCUAAAAUGAUCUACACAACCCUGUGUGUCUCCUUCAGUAUCAGUUUAGCUUUUUCCCAUUUUAGUUUCAUUGUAGUUGUGUAUGCUUUCCCAAUGUCUGCCAAUAAAGCUGUGGCAUUUUGAGUUUAUCCCUCGUGUCUGCGUUUGGCUCCUUCUCCUGCCUGCACACAGCUGAAUCUUGGCAUAAAGUUGUUAAGUGUAUAAAUACAACUGGCGGGAUUGCCCCAAUGAGUAAUUGCAUAGACGUUCACUGUGUAUGUUUUUCCUUCCUUGCAAGUAAAAUAUAUACGUGUUGAAA